rnacentral:rRNA from 1 species
UACGGAGGGUGCGAGCGUUAAUCGGAAUUACUGGGCGUAAAGCGCGCGUAGGCGGUUUGUUAAGUCAGCUGUGAAAGCCCCGGGCUCAACCUGGGAACUGCAGUUGAUACUGGCCGACUGGAGUGCGAGAGAGGGAGGUAGAAUUCCAUGUGUAGCGGUGAAAUGCGUAGAUAUCUGGAGGAACACCGGUGGCGAAGGCGGCUACCUGGACAGGUACUGACGCUGAGGCGCGAAAGCCAGGGGAGCAAACAGG